UGCCCAACAGCUAGCCCACCCAAUCAAUCUCAACAAACCCAUGUUAAUAACCCCUAAAUACCCCAGUAUUUAAAUUAAACAAACCAUUUUUCCCCCUUAGUAUAGGCGAUAGAAAAGGGACCCCGGCGCAAUAGAGAAAGUACCGCAAGGGAAUGCUGAAAGAGAAAUGAAAUAACCCAGUUAAGCCUUAAAAAGCAGAGAUUCAACCUCGUACCUUUUGCAUCAUGAUUUAGCGAGUGUACCCCAAGCAAAGAGUACUUUAGUCUGGCGUCCCGAAACUACGUGAGCUACUCCAAGACAGCCUAUUAAUAGGGCGUACCCGUCUCUGUGGCAAAAGAGUGGGGAGAGCUUUGAGUAGAGGUGAUAAACCUACCGAACCUAGUUAUAGCUGGUUAUCCAAGAAAUGAAUAGAAGUUCAGCCUCUUGGCUUCUCUUUUCACCCUAGUUUAACCCCUAUUGAUGCAUUAAAGAAACCAAAAGAGUUAGUCAAAGGGGGUACAGCCCCUUUGAAUCAAGACACAACUUUACCAGGAGGGUAAAGAUCAUA
rnacentral:rRNA from 1 species